rnacentral:rRNA from 1 species
GAGCACGUAGGUGGGUUCGUAAGUCAGAUGUGAAAGCCUUCUGUUCAACGGAAGAAUUGCAUCUGAAACUGAUAAUCUUGAGUGUAGGAGGGGAGAAUGGAACUUCUGGUGGAGCGGUGAAAUGCGUAGAUAUCAGAAGGAACGCCGGCGGCGAAAGCGAUUCUCUGGCCUAUUACUGACACUCAGUGUGCGAAAGCUAGGGGAGCAAACGGGAUUAGAUACCCCGGUAGUCCUAGCCGUAAACGAUGGGCACUAAGUAGAGGGAAUUACCGAUGUUCUCUCUGCCGUAGCUAACGCACUAAGUGCCCCACGUGGGGAGUACGGCCGCAAGGCUAAAACUCAAAAGAAUUGACGGGGGCUCGCACAAGCGGUGGAGCAUGUGGCUUAAUUCGAUGCAACGCGAAAACCCUUACCGGGGCUUGACAUGAUAGAAGUAGGAACCGGAAAGGGGGACGAACGGUAUCCAGUCCGUAGUUAUUACAGGUGUUGCAUGGCGGUCGUCAGCUCGUGUCGUGAGACGUUGGGUUAAGUCCCCUAACGAGCGAAACCCUUGUUUUUAGUUACCAGCGGGUUAUGCCGGGUACUCUAGAAAGACUCCCGUCGUCAAGACGGAGGAAGGUGGGGAUGACGUCAAGUCAUCAUGGCCCUUAUGCCCCGGGCUGCACUCGUGCUACAAUGGUCGGUACAGACGGAAGCGAAGCCGAGAGGGAAGCGAAUCCA